rnacentral:rRNA from 1 species
GUGGUAACACACAGUGGAGGACCGAACCAGUUGACGUUGAAAAGUCUUUGGAUGAAUUGUGGGUAGGGGUGAAAGGCCAAUCAAACUUGGAAAUAGCUCGUACUCCCCGAAAUGCAUUUAGGUGCAGCCUUAUUUUAGUUUAGCAGAGGUAGAGCUACUGAUAGGACGCGAGGGCUUCAUCGCCUAUCAACUCCUGAUAAACUCCGAAUGCUGCUAAAUGAUGAAUAGGAGUGAGGGCAUGGGUGCUAAGGUCCAUGUCCGAAAGGGAAAGAACCCGGACCAUCAGCUAAGGUCCCCAAAUGUAUGUUAAGUUGACCAAACGCGGUUUUACUGCUUAGACAGCUAGGAUGUUGGCU